AAUCCUCCUGGCUAAUUGCAUGUCUCGUUGCAUAAUCGUCACUCGUUUAGCAUGAAUAGCACAUAAAUUCGUAUCUUCAAAUAGAUGAACCAAGAACGCUUCAGCCGCUUCCUGAAGACAUUGCAGUGCCGUAGAUUGCCAGCGCAAACCAACAUCCGUUGAAAAAUUGGCUACAAAUUCUGAAGAUAUCUCUCGUACAAUUCUUGAAAACGGGAGCCUUUGUAUUAAUAAGUCUGUAGACCUUUGAUAUUUUCGAAUCUCUCUUAACGCCGUAGUACCUGGACGAUAUCUCUUUUUACGUGGCCGUGGAAUAGGAUCUCCAGGCUCAGCCAUUAAAGAUUUCUUUGCCAUAUUAAGUUGUUCCUAUCAAUUUCUUUUGGGAAUAAAGGUUUUUAAACAGUAAUUGUUGGAACAAAUGCAAGAGCUCGAUACAAUGAGUUUUGGUUUUGACAGGGGUUUGACGCGUCGCGACUAGCAUAG